rnacentral:rRNA from 1 species
UACGUAGGAUCCAAGCGUUGUCCGGAUUUACUGGGUGUAAAGGGUGCGCAGGCGGACUUAUAAGUCAGUGGUGAAACCUCACAGCUUAACUGUGAAACUGCCUUUGAUACUGUAGGUCUUGAAUUAGGGAGAGAUUCGUGGAAUUCCGAGUGUAGCAGUGAAAUGUGUAGAUAUUCGGAAGAACACCAGAGGCGAAGGCAGCGAAUUGGCCCUAUAUUGACGCUCAGGCACGAAAGCAUGGGGAUCAAACAGG